rnacentral:rRNA from 1 species
UGGGGAAUAUUGCACAAUGGGGGAAACCCUGAUGCAGCGACGCCGCGUGAACGAAGAAGGUAUUCGUAUCGUAAAGUUCUGUCCUAUGGGAAGAUAAUGACAGUACCAUAGAAGAAAGCUCCGGCUAAAUACGUGCCAGCAGCCGCGGUAAUACGUAUGGAGCGAGCGUUGUCCGGAAUUAUUGGGCGUAAAGGGUACGCAGGCGGUUUAAUAAGUCGAAUGUUAAAGAUCGGGGCUCAACCCCGCAAAGCAUUAGAAACUGAUAAACUUGAGUAGUGGAGAGGAAAGUGGAAUUCCUAGUGUAGUGGUGAAAUACGUAGAUAUUAGGAGGAAUACCAGUAGCGAAGGCGACUUUCUGGACACAAACUGACGCUGAGGUACGAAAGCGUGGGGAGCAAACAGG